rnacentral:rRNA from 1 species
GACGUAGGGCGCAAGCGUUGUCCGGAAUUAUUGGGCGUAAAGAGCUCGUAGGCGGCUUGUUGCGUCGACUGUGAAAACCCGUGGCUCAACCAUGUGGUCUGCAGUCGAUACGGGCAGGCUAGAGUUCGGUAGGGGAGACUGGAAUUCCUGGUGUAGCGGUGAAAUGCGCAGAUAUCAGGAGGAACACCGGUGGCGAAGGCGGGUCUCUGGGCCGAUAUUGACGCUGAGGAGCGAAAGCGUGGGGAGCGAACAGG